rnacentral:rRNA from 2 species
AGAUACAGAACCAAUACACCAUCUGUUAACAGCAGGUGGUGUAAAAAAGGUGAUUCAUAGUAACCGAACGGAUCGCAUUAUGGUCAUUUUAUAUGGCUGGCGAUAGAUCAUUCAAGUUUCUGACCUAUCAGCUUUCGACGGUAGUGUAUUGGACUACCGUGGCAGUGACGGGUAACGGGGAAUUAGGGUUCGAUUCCGGAGAGGGAGCCUGAGAAACGGCUACCACAUCUAAGGAAGGCAGCAGGCGCGCAAAUUACCCAAUCCUGACUCAGGGAGGUAGUGACAAGAAAUAACAACACUGGAAAUUUUAUUUCUAGUGAUUGGAAUGAUGGGAAUUUAAACCCCUUUCAGAGUAACAAUUGGAGGGCAAGUCUGGUGCCAGCAGCCGCGGUAAUUCCAGCUCCAAUAGCGUAUAUUAAAGUUGUUGCAGUUAAAAAGCUCGUAGUUGGAUGUCU